rnacentral:rRNA from 1 species
AUACGUAGGUGACAAGCGUUAUCCGGAUUUACUGGGCGUAAAGGGCGUGUAGGCGGUCUUGCAAGUCAGAAGUGAAAUUCCCGGGCUUAACUUGGGCGCUGCUUCUGAAACUGCUUUACUUGAGUGCUGGAGAGGAUAGUGGAAUUCCUAGUGUAGCGGUAAAAUGCGCAGAUAUUAGGAGGAACACCGGUGGCGAAGGCGGCUAUCUGGACAGUAACUGACGCUGAGGCGCGAAAGCACGGGGAGCAAACAGGAUUAGAUACCCUGGUAGUCCGUGCCGUAAACGAUGAAUACUAGGUGUAGGGGGUAUCGACUCCCUCUGUGCCGCAGUUAACACAAUAAGUAUUCCGCCUGGGGAGUACGGCCGCAAGGUUGAAACUCAAAUGAAUUGGCGGGG